CUCUAGCCAAUGUAGAAAAGUAAACGCAUAACAAUACGCACAUUAAAAUUCAGUUCAAGAGAAGUCCGAGUCCGAUGUCAAAAGUUGAACAAAAGAAAAUAAAUAAAAUGACAAUAAUACAUAAAUAACAACAGACUACUAGCAGUUAACUGACAUGCCAGCUCCAACCUCAAUUAAACUUAUUGAAAGAUUAUGUCUUCAUCAUAUGAAUAUCAGGCACAAUCCCUCCCGUUAGGGGUUUAAUCAUACUAUCAUAAAAUAUAUGAAAAGAACAUAACCCUUGUCAUGCCAAUAACUAUUUAAAAAAAUGUGUUUAGUUCCGAUGCAAAGACCCUAUGCAUAUUCCAGCGGCCAAUCCAUAUCUUGCUAUAUUAAAGUGACACACCCUUCAACAAAAUGCAAAGAAAGUCAAAAUAAAAAUGCUCUUACUAGAACGAUACUGUUGCACCGUAUUGUCAUUUUUUUUUACUCAAGAACAUCUCAUUCUUUACUUUUUCAAUGGGAAAAUAUAAAUGUAGCAAAACUAUUACCGUGGCUAAAUAACUCUUAACUGACACAAUUUCAAUUGUCCAACC
rnacentral:lncRNA from 1 species